GGAUCUUUGCUUGAGCAAUGACGUCCUCUCCUUCAUGUCUCCCCUUUCUUGGUCCUAGCUUCUUCUAAGCCUAGGUCGAUGAUUGGUUUCUUGUGUUGAAUACCCAUUGUUUGGAAUUGUUUGUCAUCAAAUGUCCAUUGUUCGUUAAGCGAAAGCAGCGUUAUACGCGUGCACGUCGCUAAUGAACCGUGAAGCAACCAUUGCGUUCCGUUUUGGCCAGGUUUAAUCUUGUGCUAAUUUUGGCACGUGAUGUGAUGCUUGUUCUCAUGGAUUAGGAAUAUUUUGAGGGUAUGGGGUUUCGUCCCCUUUCUACCCAUAAUGAAGCGUUCACCGCUAACUAGCGAAUGACUGUCGUGUUGACUUGGGCAUGCCUACUCUACGAGUUGUGCAAUGUGCGAUCAACAUCGAUGUCAAUGAGGAAUGCU
rnacentral:misc_RNA from 1 species